GACGAACCGUGCGAACGUUGUUCGGAAUCACUGGGCUUAAAGGGCGCGUAGGCGGGCUGUCAAGUUUGGGGUGAAAUCCUUCGGCUUAACCGGAGAAUGGCCUUAAAUACUGACGGUCUCGAGGGAGAUAGGGGCAUGCGGAACUAGGGGUGGAGCGGCGAAAUGCGUUGAUAUCCUUAGGAACUCCGGUGGCGAAGGCGGCAUGCUGGAUCUCUUCUGACGCUGAGGCGCGAAAGCUAGGGGAGCAAACGGG
rnacentral:rRNA from 1 species